rnacentral:rRNA from 1 species
AUUGAACGCUGGCGGCAGGCCUAACACAUGCAAGUCGAACGAGUGGCGGACGGGUGAGUAAUGUCUGGGAAACUGCCUGAUGGCGGGGGAUAACUACUGGAAACGGUAGCUAAUACCGCAUACCAUCGGAUGUGCCCAGAUGGGAUUAGCUAGUAGGUGGGGUAAAGGCUCACCUAGGCGACGAUCCCUAGCUGGUCUGAGAGGAUGCCCAGCCACACGGGAACUGAGACACGGCCCAGACUCCGACGGUAGGCAGCAUGGGGGAAUUUUGCACAAUGUGCGAAAGCCUGAUGCAGCCAUGCCGCGUGUAUGAAGAAGGCCUUCGGGUUGUAAAGUACUUUCAGCGGGGAGGCGUUACCCGCAGAAGAAGCACCGGCUAACUCCGUGCCAGCCGCCGCGGUAAUAC